rnacentral:rRNA from 1 species
UACGUAGGGGGCGAGCGUUGUCCGGAUUUACUGGGCGUAAAGAGCGCGUAGGCGGAAAUUUAAGCGUGGCCUGAAAGCCCCCGGCUCAACCGGGGAGUGCGGCUGCGAACUGGGUUUCUUGAGGACGAUAGAGGAGAGUGGAAUUCCUGGUGUAGCGGUGAAAUGCGUAGAUAUCAGGAGGAACACCCGAGGCGAAGGCGGCUCUCUGGGCCGGUACUGACGCUGAGGAGCGAAAGCGUGGGUAGCAAACAGG